GUAGAGUGACUUGCCCCACAAGUUUCCAUCGCAGCUACGCAUAGCCCCCAUCUAGUAUCAACUGCAUUAGACCAAGGUGCGUUGGUUUUAUUUGCUGAGGGGACAUAAAUAUGAUGAUUCUAUGAACGCGUUGAGUUUAUUGAUGGUUUUGUGACUUCUUUUUUGUGCUAAUAUUUAUUUAUUGGGCCAUAACGGGGUAAUAAGCGAUUCUAUAACUAAAUUCAUUUGGCCCAAUUAUAAACCCACCAAAGUAACCCCAUUAGCGACCGAUCGACCUACCCACCGGCCAAUAUUACUUUAUCUACCCUUUGGUCACGGUAUCGUCUCCAUUUAUGGCUGCUUCUCGUGGUGGUCCUACGACUUGAAGUGGAAAGCAUCAACCCAUGCUUUAUUCACAAUUAUUCAACAAAACUCUUUUUCAUUUAAUUUUAGUAGCAAAGUGACCAUUUUGUAUGAAAGUUCACAACUCUUUGACAAAAUUGCUACGCAAUAUAUGCAAUAAAAUACAACUGUUGCCAAAUGUCGACAGUGCCGAACUAUGAUUACAAGUAGAUAAACGAUAACGCAUGAUUACAAAUACCUCAUUUUGCGCAUUGUCAGAACUUCCUUGCCAAGUAUUUUUUUCCUUUCUAUGUUUUUUUUUUUCUGAACAAAUCCUUUCUAUGUAUUAUUAUGUUGUUUGGCUAAGAUUUGGCCACGUGUUCAGUUCUCAUUUGGUCUUAAUAGAUACUCAUGGAGCCCACUUGGAUAGACUCAUGGACAAGCUCAUGUGAAGACAUAGCAACAUCAACCACAAAGAGAGAGUAACAAAUACAGAGAGAGAAGUAGAGAGAGAGAAGAGAAGAGAGAGAUGGCGUCAAAGCUCUGCGACUCGU
rnacentral:lncRNA from 1 species